rnacentral:rRNA from 1 species
AUGGCCUACCAAGGCGACGACGGGUAGCCGGCCUGAGAGGGCGACCGGCCACACUGGGACUGAGACACGGCCCAGACUCCUACGGGAGGCAGCAGUGGGGAAUAUUGCGCAAUGGGCGAAAGCCUGACGCAGCAACGCCGCGUGAGGGAUGAAGGCCUUCGGGUUGUAAACCUCUUUCAGCAGGGAAGAAGCGAAAGUGACGGUACCUGCAGAAGAAGCACCGGCUAACUACGUGCCAGCAGCCGCGGUAAUACGUAGGGUGCAAGCGUUGUCCGGAAUUAUUGGGCGUAAAGAGCUCGUAGGCGGUUUGUCGCGUCUGCUGUGAAAACCUGGGGCUUAACUCCGGGCCUGCAGUGGGUACGGGCAGACUAGAGUGCGGUAGGGGGAGACUGGAAUUCCUGGUGUAGCGGUGAAAUGCGCAGAUAUCAGGA